UGAGCAAUCUGCCCUUUACUUCGGGAUAACUCCGGGAAACCGGUGCUAAUACCGAAUACGACCACUUCAGGCAUCUGAUGGUGGUGGAAAGUUCCGGCGGUGAAGGAUGAGCUCGCGGCCUAUCAGUAUGUUGGUGAGGUAACGGCCCACCAAGGCAACGACGGGUAGCCGGCCUGAGAGGGUGACCGGCCACACUGGGACUGAGACACGGCCCAGACUCCUACGGGAG
rnacentral:rRNA from 1 species